AUCUUCUUAGCCAUAGCAUGUCCAUUGGAAUGGGUACCAAAGGAGCCUUCAUGGACUUCAAUCAUCAAUAAGUCUGCUUCGUGUCUAUCCACACAUCUGAGCAGAACCAUAUCUAAAUUUCUCUUGUAAAACACAUCACCAUUCAAGUAGAAGUUGCCAGCUAAUCUUCUCAAAGUCUUCUUAUCUUUCAAAUAUGCCCCAGGCGGGUAAACCUG
rnacentral:lncRNA from 1 species